CAAGCACCUCGGUAGGUGAGGCGUCUGCACGGAUACAGGCCACUGACCCCGAACGUCGAGAGACGCCCCGGGUCAGGACAGCUCUUCCCGGACCCAAGGGUUGAGCCCAAGUGGCUUCUGACUAGUUCGGAUACGCCGUGCAGUGCCGAAGCUCCGACGAGAGGGGUGCGGC
rnacentral:sRNA from 1 species